rnacentral:lncRNA from 1 species
UCUGUUCUUAGUAAGUCUACACUGGAAACUAGCUUAUCUACUGUCCUGAGUUCGGUAUAUUAGAUUCUUUCUUUCUAGGCCCAGGAAGUUUUAGGGGGCCACCCUCAAAGUUGUCUUAACUCUAAGCCUUGGUGCCUACCUCUGGGUAAAAUUCCCAAUGGAGCCUGUGGACUGUUCUCUCUCAUAUUUUCAUCUCUAUUUUAAUUGCCAGAGGGUACUGAGAAUCCCAAGCCCUGGAGAUAUUAUAUACAGUUAAUACUGUCAAAUUUUUGCUUUGGCAGAAAAACUCUUGGUUUAUAGUUUCUUUGACUGCAAUCUCCUGCUACUUUCCAAAUUCUUGAAAAUCGUGACCUUGUAUGCCCUGUAGUCAAUUCAGGCUUUCAACUAGCUGCUCUCAAGCUGUACUUUUUAGCAGCUAGCACAAUUUUACAGUAAUCUCACAUGAAGAACAUGAUCAAUACAUGUUUAUCGAAUGAAUGAAAAUUCCAACCAUGUUUCUUCAUCAGAAAGGCUGUUGGAACUGAUUCUUCAACCCAGAGACCCUGGGCAACAACUAAUUAUUCCUUCUUAUCUCAGGUUAAAUUCAUAGCCUCUCCAGAUUCCAGUCUAGCCUUAGG